UGUGAGUUAAAACGUGGAGGUCCAGGAAGUGACUGGCUAAAGGCAAAUCCUAUGACUUUAUCCCAAAAUGUAGGCCCGUCUUCCAGAUGACUCACGUGGUACAGUGGCUUACUCCAGAUGAGGGAUGUGCCCAUAAUUUGUUUAAGCAGUUCUCUAUUGACAGACAUUUAGACAGCCAGUCUUUUGCAAUUAAGCAUUGAUCCAUUUGGAACUGAUUCAGUAUAUGGGGUGAGGUAAGAAUCCAAAUUUUUUUUUUCCAGAUGGCUACAUAGUUUGCCGUUUCUUGACCAUUUGUUGAAGAGUUCACUUCGAGACUGUUUUGUUCCGAUGGCCUAUCUAUUCAUGCUCCAGUUGCUGGUUUGUUUUAAAUUCAGAGACAUAAAAUCUUGUGAGGGAUAGUGUUUCACACUUUGUUUGGAUCACCUGAAAUCUUAGAGCUAAUAUUUCAGCCCGUGUGAAGCAACGGUUCAGUACCAUGUGGUAUGCAUUUUCUGUGGGCUAAUUUUUAUUUUCCCUUUGCCCUGAUUAUUUCCACAAUUUGUUUUAUUUUUUUGUAGAACAAGCCAGAAUAUAAAUAUACCUUUGUUUAAGACUCUCUGUUUGCAUGUAACGGAAACCAACCUGAAACAGCUUAACCAAAAGGAAAGAAUUUAUCAUAAGGAUGUAGGAACUUCUUACAAAUGCCCAGAGCGGGAAGACAGCUACCUCCUAGCAAAAGACUAGAACCAGGAGUUGGAAAACUUCCAGGAACCCAAAAGGUACUCUCUGUAAUCCUCCUUCUGUGAUUAUUUUCUGGGUGUCUGCCUCCUUGUGCAUCUCUCUCUCUCUACUGACUGGUUCUCUCUGCUUUUCCACCUACACAGGAGAAUACAGCCACCUCCACAUUCAGCUAGGAAGUCAGCUCGGUGUGGGCGUCAGAGCCCAAACAAGGAGGGUAGGGAGGCGGUCCUGCAGAGUCAGGUGACUAAUCAAAGACAGGGGGACUACACAAAGAAACACUAUGUCAAGGAUAAUGGGAGCCAGAUUUCUCAUUCUUAAAAUACAGGAAAGGGAAUAGCAAGAAGGCUUGAGGGAUUGCAUUGGAAUUGGAAAUACUGAUGUGAAUACGACGUUUGCAGUAUGUGUAGAUAUAAAAAUAAAUAUAAAUGUGAAAGUA